UCCAUUAUCAGGCCGUUAUCAAGUCACCAAUUAUAUACUCUUCUAUAUAUAUAAAAAUCAUAUCAAGUUCUAAGGAGCUAAAAAAAACAUUUUUGUUGUCUAGGCUUUAUUUGGCAGGACACUUCUUCUCAAUGAAAUUUUCAAAGUCUCAGUUAUGCAAAAGGUGGUCAAGGCAAUUAAGGGAGCAGAAAACAAGAUUUUAUAUCAUGUGGAGGUGUAUGGUCAUUCUUCUAAUGUGGCAACAGUGACCUUGAUGAUACUUAAAGAGUAAGAAAUCAAGAGUGACCGACAAAAUCAAGAUAACUUCCUAGUAUGUUUGGAAUCACGUUGAAGAAUCGCCUUCAAGAAUGUUUUGACUCUCUCUAACGUGUAGCUUCUUUAUGAGAUGCUACACACUUUAUUUUAGUGGUAGACAGACAGGUAUGAAAAUCAUGGCUCUAGUUUGAUUUCUCUUUUUGUUUUUGUUUAGACACUUGAGUCUAACUUGUAAUUGUGAAUUUUGUUUUAUUCAAUGAGAAAACUUAUGAUCAUUGUCAA